AUAUAACUAAGCGGAGGAAAAGAAACUAACCAGGAUUCCCUCAGUAACGGCGAGUGAAGCGGGAAAAGCUCAGACUGAAAAGCUUCGGCAUUGUAGUCUGGAGAGGCCAAAUCAAUUCACGGUUGUGCAAAAGUGCUCUGGAACGAGCCGCCGAGGAGGGUGAUAGCCCCGUUACGCACAAAUUUUCCGUCGAGUGUACGAUUGGUCUUCUACGAGUCGAGUUGUUUGGGAAUGCAGCUCUAAGUGGGUGGUAAAUUCCAUCUAAAGCUAAAUAUUGGUGGGAGACCGAUAGCGCACAAGUA
rnacentral:rRNA from 1 species